GACAGAGGGUGCAAACGUUGUUCGGAAUCACUGGGCGUAAAGCGCACGUAGGCGGAUUGCUAAGUCAGGGGUGAAAUCCUGGAGCUCAACUCCAGAACUGCCCUUGAUACUGGCGGUCUCGAGUCCGGGAGAGGUGAGUGGAACUGCGAGUGUAGAGGUGAAAUUCGUAGAUAUUCGCAAGAACACCAGUGGCGAAGGCGGCUCACUGGCCCGGUACUGACGCUGAGGUGCGAAAGCGUGGGAGCAACAGGG
rnacentral:rRNA from 1 species